GGAUGUGAGAGUGAUCUGGUUGUAACAUCUGUCACCCCAGUGAUUGCGUGGGCUGAUUUGGUUAAUCUGGCUGGAUAGGUGGGUGUCCUCUUUCUCACGGCUCCAUGUACGUCUCUCUUGAAGCUGUGUGCAUGAUUGAAGAGGAGGACCUUCUCCAAAGAAAAGAUCAGGUCAAGAUCAAACAAGCUCUCAAGGAUAGGGGUUGCCAUGGAGAAAACUUCAGUUUAAAAAUGGGUCAUCUGUCUGCACUGGCAUUCAUU
rnacentral:sRNA from 1 species